rfam:Picea glauca, whole genome shotgun sequence.
GCAUGUCUACAACAUAUCAUUAAUGCAUUGGAUCCCAUUAGAACUUCAUAAUUAAACACACUUAGGCUAGAGUAGUAUUGGGAUGGGUGAAUGCUCGGGAAGUCCUAGUAUUUUACAUGCA